rnacentral:rRNA from 1 species
UAGGGAAUCUUCGGCAAUGGGGGGAACCCUGACCGAGAAACGCCGCGUGAGUGAAGAAGGUUUUCGGAUCGUAAAGCUCUGUUGUUAAGGAAGAACGAGUGUGAGAAUGGAAAGUUCAUACUGUGACGGUACUUAACCAGAAAGGGACGGCUAACUACGUGCCAGCAGCCGCGGUAAUACGUAGGUCCCGAGCGUUGUCCGGAUUUAUUGGGCGUAAAGCGAGCGCAGGCGGUUAGAUAAGUCUGAAGUUAAAGGCAGUGGCUCAACCAUUGUAGGCUUUGGAAACUGUUUAACUUGAGUGCAGAAGGGGAGAGUGGAAUUCCAUGUGUAGCGGUGAAAUGCGUAGAUAUAUGGAGGAACACCGGUGGCGAAAGCGGCUCUCUGGUCUGUAACUGACGCUGAGGCUCGAAAGCGUGGGGAGCGAACAGG